CAAGAAUGCUGGAGUGAGUAACUAUUUUCUUCUCCAGGGGAUCUUCCCAACCCAGGGAUCAAACCCCAGUCUCCUGCAUUGCAGAUUCUUUACCAUCUGAACCGCCAAGGAAAUAAAUAUGUAUUUAACCUUGAGCAAGCCCCAGUCACUCUAGGAGCAGACCCCAAGUCAACCCAGCAUUUCCCUGAGCUGUCUCCUGAGCCAUCCAAGUGCCACGUGUUAUUCCCAUAGCACAUUCCUUCAUCCUACAGACAUCAAUGAGUACCCACUCUAUGCCAGGCCCACUUCUAGAUACAGGAGUGGAGGCAAGAAAUGAAUCGGACCUUUCCCUCCAAUAGGUGGUAGGUGUGAGUCACUGUUCCAUUUUAAGGAUUAGCAACAUGAAACUGAAAGCCCCAUGGUAGGGUCACCCAGCUGGGAUAACUGGGUUUAUUUGACAUAGGUUCACAUCCCAGCUCUGUUCGUUCACUGGGCGACUGGACAUGUGACUUCACCCUCCUUGGCCUCAGUUUCCUAUCUCUCAAAGAAGGGUGAUUCCCUCUUCCUCUUAGAGCUGCUGUGAGGACAAGAACAGUAAACACCAGGAACACACUCGCCUGCCUUCGCUGCCCCCUCUCUUCAGUGAGCGUGCACGUAAAUACUACAUGCAAACCGCCCGAUGGAGUAAGCACUGUUGAUGCACAGUUCACCGUCGGCCCGCAGUCCCGCUCCCGCCCGACCGCACCUGGCUUGUCGCUUCUGCUCUUCGGCCAGCUGCUGCACCCGCAGCGAUUCCUGCAUGACCGCCAGGCUCGGGUACCAUUCUCGCUCCUCAGCCUCCAGCUCGAGCAGCUGUUCCCGCGACGGCCACAGAGAACCGGGGUCAA